rnacentral:rRNA from 1 species
UACGUAGGGGGCGAGCGUUAUCCGGAAUUACUGGGCGUAAAGCGCACGCAGGCGGUUCGCCAAGUUUGGUGUGACAGUUGUCGGCUCAACCGACAAAGGACUUCAAAAACUGGUGAACUUGAGGACGAGAGAGGAACAUGGAACUCCAGGUGUAGUAGUGAAAUGCGUAGAUAUCUGGAAGAACACCAAUGGCGAAGGCAAUGUUCUGGCUCGUUUCUGACGCUCAGGUGCGAAAGCCAGGGGAGCGAACGGG